rnacentral:rRNA from 1 species
UACGGAGGGUGCAAGCGUUAUCCGGAAUCACUGGGUUUAAAGGGUGCGGAGGCGGCUUGAUAUGUCAGGGGUGAAAGCCCGCAGCUUAACUGCGGAACUGCCUUUGAUACUGUCGAGCUUGAAAGAGGUUGAGGUCAGCGGAACGUGAGAUGUAGAGGUGAAAUGCAUAGAUAUGACACAGAACACCGAUUGCGAAGGCAGCUGGCUGGACCUACUUUGACGCUGAGGCACGAAAGCGUGGGGAGCGAACAGG